GAUUGACUUCCUGUUUCAGCAUGAGGUUGACUUCCUGCUUAAGAGUGGGAUUGACUUCCUGUUUCAGCAUGAGGUUGACUUCCUGCUUAAGAGUGGGAUUGACUUCCUGUUUCAGCAUGAGGUUGACUUCCUGCUUAAGAGUGGGAUUGACUUCCUGUUUCAGCAUGAGGUUGACUUCCUGCUUAAGAGUGGGAUUGACUUCCUGUUUCAGCAUGAGGUUGACUUCCUGCUUAAGAGUGGGAUUGACUUCCUGUUUCAGCAUGAGGUUGACUUCCUGCUUAAGAGUGGGAUUGACUUCCUGUUUCAGCAUGAGGUUGACUUCCUGCUUAAGAGUGGGAUUGACUUCCUGUUUCAGCAUGAGGUUGACUUCCUGCUUAAGAGUGGGAUUGACUUCCUGUUUCAGCAUGAGGUUGACUUCCUGUUUAAGAGUGAGAAUGACUUCCUGUUUCAGCAUGAGGUUGACUUCCUGCUUAAGAGUUAAAUUGACUUGUGUCUUAAAUUGUGAAUCCUUAUUUCCUCGCUCUUCCGUCGACAUGCCCGUGACUUGGAAACUGAGCAAAGUCCGCCAUCAUGAUCAAGUAUCAAUUCUCUGAAUGCACUGCAAGGACAGAGGACAGAAGAAGCUUCCUGAGGAUAGUUGCGUGAGAAAGCAAAGGUGCAUCAUUUGAUGAAACACCUGAUGCACGUAUAAAUUCUCUUGGGAUGAAGUAUUUUUACAUGGACAGUGUCAGUGCUAAAAGCAAAACAAUGUGUUCUCUGCAAGCGCUUUUCAUGUGGAGUUCAAAGAAGCUUUAAUCAUGUGAAUGCAGCUUCACAAUUGCUGUAGCAAAGUGGAUAUCCACGAUUAAUAUUGUGGAGCAUGAUUAUGUUUUUAGUUAAAUUCAAACUACAGGGACAAGAUAUUUCAAUUAAUAUUGUACUUUUGGAAUCUGUUGAAGUGACAGUGAAUGGCUGUUUGUUUAACUAAAGUGUUUUGAAGAUCUGACACUAGUUAACUUACUAACACACACACUUGAUCAGUGAGGUCAGUUGUGAGUUUUAUAACACCUUCAUGAUUACGCAAUCACAGGAAACACAAACACACAUAUUUGGCUGAGGAGUGACUCACAAUCAUAUAGGUAGAGCAAGUGAAUGAACGAUCAGAGAGAGAGAGACAGAUGUGUUGCAGGCGUGUUGUCAUGCUCUCUGUUUGUCUGCUGUAUAUUUGCUCUUCUCUUAUAUAAUGUCAGUUCUGCUCAGAGGAAGUGAAUCAUCUGCCUUGAUAUCUGAUCUUUACAAUGAUGUUACAUGUACAGUAAAAAGUUUUUGCAUUUAAAUGUAUGAGUCUUGAGAUGCUUUUUUUAAAAGUUGAACUUUUAACUUUAUUCACAUACUAUCUGCACUUUAGUGUGGCCCAAAUCAUAGUAUAUCGAAACUAGAAUGCCAGUGGUGCCCAGAUGGUAUACCUUUUCCUGGUGGAUUUUCCUAGUAUGCCUACUGUACAUCUUUUUGUUCUAAAAUUACCCACAAUCUACAGAAGAGGAGGAAUUUGUGAUUAUUCUUGGAAGGCACCACAUGAGUUUUUUCAUGGACUAUGAUCCUGAAAGUUUAAUGAAUAAUGAUGUAUUUAACAUAAUGAAUUUUGCUGGAUAUUACAUGCAAAUGUUUACAAACGUUUUAAGCAAGGGAGUGCAGUCUUGUUUAAAAUAGUGCUCAGAUCCUUAUUGUUCUCUGUGUGCUGCUGUAAUGAGGUGGUUUAGUUGGUUAAAAAUACUUUUGUAAUUAUAGGAAGUGAUUUUUGAACUAAAUGUUUAUCCUUGAAUGCUGUGCUAAUUUGUGGCCAGGCGUUUUGCCAUCAAACAGUCUGUUUAACACUUACAGGCACAAACACAACACGCUACAUACAAACACAAUCUCAGGCCGUGCCAAGUUGCUGCCUAUACCUAUCCAGUGCUUCCAGUUAGGAUGUUGCCUUAUGGGUCGUUCACACAGGACGCGUUCUUGUUUUUUAAUAGUUUUUUAUGUAAGCAUGCUCAAGAUGGUUGUUUUUGACAGCCGUUAUUGUAACAUGUCUGUUUUUUUCAGCAUCUUGCGUCAUGAGCACUACAUUUUUAAGAUGGCGUGUCAAGUAAAAUAAAAAGCUUGAAAUAAUGCAUUUCGAAAAGCAUAGCUGUUUUUGAAAGCGAGGCCUCAUCCUGUGUGAACAACUCCUUAGAAUGUGCCAGAAGACCGUAAGGCGCCUCACUAGAGUUUGGAACAGAGCUCGAGUCUAUCAUGUUUUG